CGGCGGGUCUGCUCUGUGGUGCACGCGGUCGUGGGAUUCUGUGCCUUUUCGAACAAUUAUUGUGGUCAAGGAAAAGUAAAACUGCUUAAGCCCUACCAAGACCGUGUUCCCAGCAGUUCAGCGGAGAAAUGCGAGGCUGAUGUCUAUGAUUUCCUCGAGUGACUAAGGCAAAUUCCGUUCGUCAGGAAGCUCCACUGUUCACAACAAUUGCCAAGGUGAGGAACUACUCGCCAUCAUUACCCGCCCCGCCAGUGGGAACCAGCGGCAGACACGCGGGACUGCGCUUCCCUGCCCCCAAAUCAUGUAUUCCGUUCCUCAAAGGUGCGUACAGUUCCUUCAGCAUACAUCUUGACCUCUUGUUUGACCAUACCGGCUCCCUUCAUGGCUCGUCACCAGGGAUCAUGGAAAACACAGCAGCUGACGACGCGUGAACGGCACCAUUGAUCACAUGACACAAGGCCGCGUGCACCUCGCCUUCCUCUUCUCCUCGCUCUCUAAACAACACUGCAGACUGGAGAAGCGUGUGUUCCCUGCAGCAAAGCGUCACUUCCUGGUGGCAGCUCCUUUGGUAAAGCAAUGCAAAGCGAUCGCGUGGGAGGCGUGUGAACCCUGACCAGGGGAAGAAUGUGUGGGGUGUAAGUUACCUCGGACCAACAUUUUCUUACGCACUGUGUAAUCUCCUCACUAAUAUUUGGAAUCCAUCAACGAAAUAAAAAUGUAGUUACGAGACUUGUAUGAAUUAUAGUAAAACAUGGGAUAUGUCAGUCAACAUAGUACAUGUUUUUAUGUGAAAUUACAGUCUUUUAAAGAAUUUUGGUUUUAGCAUUUAUCCUCGUGUGUCAUGAUACCGACUCUAAGCAAAGGGAUUGGUUACCAAACGUUUUUAAUUUUCAGCUAGUAUUUUAUCGAAUCGUUUUUGUAAACAGAAUGAGUCUUGUGUCACUUGUCCUUAUGAUUUAUGAUUGGAAACACUAUUAUUAUUAUUAGUUAUUAUUAUUGUUAUUAUUAUUGUUAUUAUUAUUAUUAUUAUUAUUAUUAUUAUUAUUAUUAUUAUUAUUAUUAUUAUUAUUAUUAUUAUUAUUAUUAUUAUUAUUAUUAUUAUUAUUGUUAUUGUUCAGGUAAUGGAUUGUGGGUAGUCAGUUCUUGUUUUGAUUUUGACAGAUGGCAGGCAGAGCUGGACGGAAGCAAGGCCUGUACACACUGUUACUGAGGCACAUCAGUUACUUGUGCCACACAAACCACACAAACAUUGCUAAUCGUUCUAAUCGUCCUAUUUCUUUUACUGUAGUUACGCAGUUGUUCUUGGGGGCAACAUAACGUCUUUCAGCUAAAAGAUGUGUUUGAUCUAUGUUGCAUGCAUACGCGCGUGCGCACACACACACACACACACACACACACACACACACACACACACACACA